rnacentral:rRNA from 1 species
GGUUCACCCAAGGCCAGUGAAUCCGUAGCCCGACCCUGAAGAGGGUAAUUCGGCCCACCAUUGGGGACUGAAGACACGGGCCCCAGAUUUCUUACGGGAAGGCAGCCAGUAAGGAAUUCUUCCCCCAAUGGACCGCAAGUCUGAUGGAGCAACCCCCGCGUGAGUGAAGAAAGGGUUUCGGCUUCGUAAAGCUCUGUUGUUAAAGAAGAAACGUGGGUAAGGAGUAACUGUUUACCCCAGUGACGGUAUUUAACCAGAAAGCCACGGCUAACUACGUGCCAGCAGCCGCGGUAAUACGUAGGUGGCAAGCGUUAUCCGGAUUUAUUGGGCGUAAAGCGAGCGCAGGCGGUCUUUUAAGUCUAAUGUGAAAGCCUUCGGCUCAACCGAAGAAGUGCAUUGGAAACUGGGAGACUUGAGUGCAGAAGAGGACAGUGGAACUCCAUGUGUAGCGGUGAAAUGCGUAGAUAUAUGGAAGAACACCAGUGGCGAAGGCGGCUGUCUGGUCUGCAACUGACGCUGAGGCUCGAAAGCAUGGGUAGCGAACAGGAUUAGAUACCCUGGUAGUCCAUGCCGUAAACGAUGAUUACUAAGUGUUGGAGGGUUUCCGCCCUUCAGUGCUGCAGCUAACGCAUUAAGUAAUCCGCCUGGGGAGUACGACCGCAAGGUUGAAACUCAAAAGAAUUGACGGGGGCCCGCACAAGCGGUGGAGCAUGUGGUUUAAUUCGAAGCUACGCGAAGAACCUUACCAGGUCUUGACAUCUUCUGACAGUCUAAGAGAUUAGAGGUUCCCUUCGGGGACAGAAUGACAGGUGGUGCAUGGUUGUCGUCAGCUCGUGUCGUGAGAUGUUGGGUUAAGUCCCGCAACGAGCGCAACCCUUAUUACUAGUUGCCAGCAUUAAGUUGGGCACUCUAGUGAGACUGCCGGUGACAAACCGGAGGAAGGUGGGGACGACGUCAAAUCAUCAUGCCCCUUAUGACCUGGGCUACACACGUGCUACAAUGGAUGGUACAACGAGUCGCGAGACCGCGAGGUUAAGCUAAUCUCUUAAAACCAUUCUCAGUUCGGACUGUAGGCUGCAACUCGCCUACACGAAGUCGGAAUCGCUAGUAAUCGCGGAUCAGCAUGCCGCGGUGAAUACGUUCCCGGGCCUUGUACACACCGCCCGUCACACCAUGAGAGUUUGUAACACCCAAAGCCGGUGGGGUAACCUUUAGGAGCUAGCCGUCUAAGUGACAGAGUAUUUGCAAUG